GAAGACAAUAGUCUAAUCAUAACUUCGGGACAAGAGUUGCAUCUUUUUACUAACAGUUAAUAUUUUUGUAAAAACAUAUCUGCAGACAUUGAGUUAAAAGGCUAUAAUAUGAAGGAUUAAAGCUUAAAGAUGCAGGAGCCUAAACCGUGUCUCAAAUUGGAGCAUUUAUCAUUAGGCCAAUCAAUGGUAACAUGCAGAUCAACCAUUGAUAGUUUGAGUCUAAUCAUAACUUCAGGACAAGAGUUGCAUCUCUUUUAAUAACAGUAACAUUUCUGUAAGAAUAUAUCUGCAGAUUUUGAGUUAAAAGGCUUUAAUAUGAAGGAGUAAAGCUUGAAGGUGCAAAAGCCUAAACCAUGUCUAACUUGGCAGUCGGCACAUCUAUCAUUAAACCGAUCAAUGGUAACAAGCAGAUUAACCAUUGGUAGUUCGAUACAACGAACCAAACACAGCUAAAGCUGUUUGGUUCCUUCACUAAUAGUCUUUGUUUCUUUCUAAUGCGUCUAAUGCAGAGCAGACUAGCAGAGGGACACACGCUACCCUCUCAAGCUAUCCACAUACCAUAGUGAGUCUCUGAUUGUAGUAUGCAAUUCUGUUAAGCUCCCAAGCAGGACUUGAAUAGGAAUAUCUCAUGAAUGAGUAGUUGUAGAGGUACCAAAGGCAAAGCCCUUGUGAUUUGGGUUCUCUUUGUUGUGAAUGGACUGCUGCAGUCCAAAGCAACCAGUGUCUUCUUGUUCAUCAGGAGCAAAUAUCUCUCUCAGCAGUUGAGAGUCUAUCUCAAAAAAUGAAUAUUCUCCUACAUCAGUGUCAAUCAAGGGACGCGGAUGUCCUUCAAUGAUUGACACAUCUGUGUUCAUCUGUUGACUUGCUACUUCUUGAAAUGUAGUUUCAUGAAUAUUAGAAGCCAUAGAUGUACUCCAAUGAUUUCCAUGUAUUGAAUUAUCAGCAUUCUCAUAAUGAUUUUGAUUUUCAAAAUAAAGUGUUCCAUUGAGGCAACUCCUUCCACCUUGUUCAGGGACUGAUACAAAAGAAGUCGUACUAGGAUUUGGACUUCCAAAAUCCAAAACACGAAGGUAAGUUGGCUCACCUUUAUGAUAAGAUGAGUUAGAAGUUAUUUUCAAUGGGUUUUGAUUUUCAAAAUUAAAAUCCAUGAGGCUACUUGUUUCGUUUUUGUCAUAUGUUGAAACAGUAGUUAUCUCAUAUAGAUUUUGAUUUUCAACACCAGAAGCCCAUUGGCAAACUGGGGUACAUGUCUCAUAAGAUGAAGUAACAGUCAUCUCUUUUGGAUUUGGGUUUUUCAAAUCAAAAUCUAUUAGACAACUUGCUUCAAGAAUGUUACAGAAUGAAACAUCAUGUGUAACAUAUGGUUUUGGAGUGAUUGAGAAGUUUUCUGUUGUUUCAAGAUCGUUAAAUGAUG
rnacentral:misc_RNA from 1 species